UACGGGGGGGCAAGCGUUGUUCGGAAUCACUGGGCGUAAAGCGCACGUAGGCGGAUUGUUAAGUCAGGGGUGAAAUCCUGGAGCUCAACUCCAGAACUGCCUUUGAUACUGGCGAUCUCGAGUCCGGGAGAGGUGAGUGGAACUGCGAGUGUAGAGGUGAAAAUUCGUAGAUAUUCGCAAGAACACCAGUGGCGAAGGCGGCUCACUGGCCCGGUACUGACGCUGAGCUGCGAAAGCUAGGGGAGCAAACAGGG
rnacentral:rRNA from 1 species